rnacentral:RNase_P_RNA from 1 species
GUCGCUGUUCGCUUUUGGCGAAAGGAGGAAAGUCCGGACAAUGUAGAGCACCGUACCACUUAAGAGGUGGGGGGAUCAGGAGGAAUCCCGAUUCUAUAGAGAGUGUCACAGAAAACAAACCGCCAUACUUCGGUGUGGUAAGGGUGAAAACGUGCGGUAAGAGCGCACGCCGUCGGAUAGUAAUAUUCGGGGGAGAUAAACCUUGCGGAUUGAAAUGCCACGUAAACCAGUAGUGCCGCUCCUUUCGGGGAGUUGGUCGGCAAGUUGCUCGCUUGUAUGCUGGAGGGUAGGCAGAUAGAUCCUGUGCAGUGAUGCCAGGGCUAGAUAAAUGACGGGGCUAUCCCUUCGGGGGUAGGACAGAAUCCGGCUUAUGAUC